rnacentral:rRNA from 1 species
UGGGUGAUCUGCCCUGCACUUUGGGAUAAGCCUGGGAAACUGGGUCUAAUACCGAAUACACCUCAUGGACUGCAUGGUUUGUGGGGGAAAGCUUUUGCGGUGUGGGAUGGGCCCGCGGCCUAUCAGCUUGUUGGUGGGGUGAUGGCCUACCAAGGCGACGACGGGUAGCCGGCCUGAGAGGGUGACCGGCCACACUGGGACUGAGACACGGCCCAGACUCCGUACGGGAGCA